rnacentral:rRNA from 1 species
UCCUACGGGAGGCAGCAGUGGGGAAUAUUGGACAAUGGGGGCAACCCUGAUCCAGCCAUGCCGCGUGAGUGAAGAAGGCCUUCGGGUUGUAAAGCUCUUUCAGAUGCGAAGAUGAUGACGGUAACAUCAGAAGAAGCCCCGGCUAAUUUCGUGCCAGCAGCCGCGGUAAUACGAAAGGGGCAAGCGUUGUUCGGAUUUACUGGGCGUAAAGGGCACGCAGGCGGUCUUGCCAGUCAGGGGUGAAAGCCCGGGGCUCAACCCCGGAACUGCCUCUGAUACUGCAAGACUAGAGACUAGGAGAGGGUGGUGGAAUUCCCAGUGUAGAGGUGAAAUUCGUAGAUAUUGGGAGGAACACCAGAGGCGAAGGCGGCCACCUGGACUAGAUCUGACGCUCAGGUGCGAAAGCGUGGGGAGCAAACAGGAUUAGAUACCCUGGUAGUCCACGCCGUAAACGAUGAGUGCUAGUUGUCGGGACUUCGGUUUCGGUGACGCAGCUAACGCA